GACGAACGCUGGCGGCGUGCCUAACACAUGCAAGUCGAGCGGGGUUGAAGCGAGGGGUAACUCGAGUUUCUACCUAGCGGCGGACGGGUGAGUAACGCGUGGGCAACCUGCCUCAAGGACUGGGAUAACAGCUCGAAAGGGCUGCUAAUACCGGAUAAGCCUAUGGCCUCGCAUGGGGCCAUGAGCAAAGGGGAAACCUGCCUUGAGAUGGGCCCGCGUCCCAUCAGCUAGUUGGUGAGGUGAAGGCUCACCAAGGCGACGACGGGUAGCCGGCCUGAGAGGGUGACCGGCCACACUGGGACUGAGACACGGCCCAGACUCCUACGGGGGGCAGCAGUGGGAAAUCUUGCACAAUGGGCGAAAGCCUGAUGCAGCGACGCCGCGUGAGCGAAGAAGGCCUUCGGUUGUAAAGCUCUGUCUGGAGGGACGGAAGGAAGUGACGGUACCUCCGGACGGAAGCCACGGCUAACUACGUGCCAGCAGCCGCGGUAAGUAUCACGUGUACG
rnacentral:rRNA from 1 species